GCUAACAGGAGAGCUGAGCACUCUGGCGAGACUGCCGCCGACAAGGCGGAGGAAGUGGGGAUGACGUCAAGUCAUCAUGGCCUUUAUGCCCAGGGCUACACACGUGCUACAAUGCCGGCACAGACGGCAGCUUAGUGGCGACACUUGGCAAAUCCUCUAAAGCCGGUCCCAGUUCGGAUUGCAGUCUGCAACUCGACUGCAUGAAGCCGGAAUCGCUAGUAAUCGCAGAUCAGCCAAGCUGCGGUGAAUACGUUCCCGGGCCUU
rnacentral:rRNA from 1 species